rnacentral:rRNA from 1 species
AGUGGGGAAUAUUGCGCAAUGGGCGGAAGCCUGACGCAGCGACGCCGCGUGGGGGAUGACGGCCUUCGGGUUGUAAACCUCUUUCGCCAGGGACGAAGCUUUGGUGACGGUACCUGGAGAAGAAGCACCGGCCAACUACGUGCCAGCAGCCGCGGUAACACGUAGGGUGCGAGCGUUGUCCGGAAUUAUUGGGCGUAAAGAGCUCGUAGGCGGUGUGUCGCGUCGGCCGUGAAAACUUGGGGCUUAACUCUGAGCGUGCGGUCGAUACGGGCAUCACUUGAGUUCGGCAGGGGAGACUGGAAUUCCUGGUGUAGCGGUGAAAUGCGCAGAUAUCAGGAGGAACACCGGUGGCGAAGGCGGGUCUCUGGGCCGAUACUGACGCUGAGGAGCGAAAGCGUGGGGAGCGAA